UACGGAGGGUGCUAGCGUUGUUCGGAAUUACUGGGCGUAAAGCGCGUGUAGGCGGCCCGCUAAGUCUGAUGUGAAAGCCCGGGGCUCACCCCCGGAAGUGCAUUGGAGACUGGCGGGCUCGAGUGCCGGAGAGGAGGGUGGAAUUCCUGGUGUAGCGGUGAAAUGCGUAGAUAUCAGGAGGAACACCGGUGGCGAAGGCGGCCCUCUGGACGGUGACUGACGCUGAGACGCGAAAGCGUGGGGAGCAAACAGG
rnacentral:rRNA from 1 species